UACGGGGGGGGCAAGCGUUGUUCGGAAUUACUGGGCGUAAAGGGUCUGUAGGUGGCCAACUAAGUCAGACGUGAAAUCCCUCAGCUUAACUGGGGAACUGCGUCUGAUACUGGAUGGCUCGAGUGUGGGAGAGGAAUGCGGAAUUCCAGGUGUAGCGGUGAAAUGCGUAGAUAUCGGGAGGAACAUCAGUGGCGAAGGCGGCUACCUGGCCCAAUACUGACACUCAGGUGCGACAGCGUGGGGAGCAAACAGG
rnacentral:rRNA from 1 species